rnacentral:rRNA from 1 species
CCUACGGUGGGCAGCAGUGGGGAAUAUUGGACAAUGGGCGAAAGCCUGAUCCAGCCAUGCCGCGUGUGUGAAGAAGGCCUUCGGGUUGUAAAGCACUUUCAGUGGGGAAGAAAGCCUUGGGGCUAAUACCCUCGAGGAAGGACAUCACCCACAGAAGAAGCACCGGCUAACUCCGUGCCAGCAGCCGCGGUAAUACGGAGGGUGCGAGCGUUAAUCGGAAUUACUGGGCGUAAAGCGCGCGUAGGCGGUCUGAUAAGCCGGUUGUGAAAGCCCCGGGCUCAACCUGGGAACGGCAUCCGGAACUGUCAGGCUAGAGUGCAGGAGAGGAAGGUAGAAUUCCCGGUGUAGCGGUGAAAUGCGUAGAGAUCGGGAGGAAUACCAGUGGCGAAGGCGGCCUUCUGGACUGACACUGACGCUGAGGUGCGAAAGCGUGGGUAGCAAACAGGAUUAGAUACCCGGGUAGUC